UUUGUAUCAACUAAUGAGAUAAAACAUACAAAAUUUGAAUGUUCACCUACUUCUCUGAUCUAGCUGAUGGUAGUAACUGUUGUCCUGACUAUGGAGGUCAUGGAGAGUUGAUUUUAGGCGAAUUCCCAUCCUUAUGGUAGUGGUGAAGAUGUAGUCUUGAAGUUUACCAUGCUACGGUUGUUUGUUCAAAAUCAUGUGUUUAUUCCAUUCCCAACUUAUAAUAGGCAUAGUUAUGUUGUAUAUCAUUAUAUUUCAAAAAAAAAAAAUGAAAUCUAACAAUUGUGACAUGCACAGUAACAAUUGUUAAGAGUACUACCACUUUCGGGAAUUCAUUUUCAUGCCUGUCAUCGAUGUGAAAGAGAAAGACAUUUUUACCAUCGCUUGUUUUGCAGAGAGAAAAGAGGCAAGACUUAGACGCAGACAUACAUAUAUUAGGAGGGGUUUUUUUUUUAAACAAUUAAAAAAAACUCUUCAUAUUGACGUCGGCGAUAAUGGAUCGACAAUCUACUCUCAAAACCUUCCUCCAAAAGAUUCUCCAACCACGUGCACCGUCUGUUCUGCCUGACGAACAGCGUAAGGUCCUUAUUUCUGGAGUUCUCUACACCAAAUCUAGUAGCGACAUACCGCCAAGUAAACCUUCCCGGUGGACCCAUCAUGUAAAGUUUACGCAAUUGUCCCUCUAUGGAUUUUGUCUAUCGAUAGCAAAAAAUAAUGGUCCGUCGUGAAUCGACUUUCAGUGGACCAGAUCCGGUAGGGUUUGAACAAAUAUGUCUAUUAUUAACGAACCAUUUGUUCGUCGAGUAUAUCUCUUGUAAGCCCGAUGGACCAUAUCCAAAGUCCACCCAAAUCUCUUGUCAAUCAGAUGGACCAAAUCCACAUCCAACCAAGCUAUCUUUUGGAGCAGACAGACAAUAUCAACCCAGGUAAUGUCCACAGAGAUGAUUUUGUCUGUCCAAAAUCUUUUACUGCUCAGAAAUUGUUUGUUAUUUUGUAAAGGCUUUUGUAGUUCCUUUUGUGCAAUCUACUUCUUUUUUUAUUAUCACUCUUCUUGUACUUUUGUUAAUAUUUGUCUAUCCAUCAUGUUAUGAACAUAUUGUCUACCCUAGUUGUUUCUUCACUUGGUUGUCUAAUGGACAGUUUUAUAUAUAGGAUUCAUGUC